rnacentral:sRNA from 1 species
GUCGAUGUGAGUGUGCCGAAGCACGCUGC